rnacentral:rRNA from 1 species
AUUGAACGCUGGCGGCAGGCCUAACACAUGCAAGUCGAGCGGAUGAAGGGAGCUUGCUCCUGGAUUCAGCGGCGGACGGGUGAGUAAUGCCUAGGAAUCUGCCUGGUAGUGGGGGAUAACGUCCGGAAACGGGCGCUAAUACCGCAUACGUCCUGAGGGAGAAAGUGGGGGAUCUUCGGACCUCACGCUAUCAGAUGAGCCUAGGUCGGAUUAGCUAGUUGGUGGGGUAAAGGCCUACCAAGGCGACGAUCCGUAACUGGUCUGAGAGGAUGAUCAGUCACCCUGGAAGUGGGACAGGGUCCAGACUCCUACGGGAGGCAGCAGUGGGGAAUAUUGGACAAUGGGCGAAAGCCUGAUCCAGCCAUGCCGCGUGUGUGAAGAAGGUCUUCGGAUUGUAAAGCACUUUUAGUUGGGAGGAAGGGCAGUAAGUUAAUACCUUGCUGUUUUGACGUUACCAACAGAAUAAGCACCGGCUAACUUCGUG